rnacentral:rRNA from 1 species
ACACGGCCCGUACCCCAAACCGACACAGGUGGUCAGGUAGAGCAUACCAAGGCGUACGAGAUAACUAUGGUUAAGGAACUCGGCAAAAUGCCCCCGUAACUUCGGGAGAAGGGGGACCGGAAUAUCGUGAACACCCUUGCGGUGGGAGCGGGAUCCGGUCGCAGAAACCAGUGAGGAGCGACUGUUUACUAAAAACACAGGUCCGUGCGAAGUCGCAAGACGAUGUAUACGGACUGACGCCUGCCCGGUGCUGGAAGGUUAAGAGGACCCGUUAACCCGCAAGGGUGAAGCGGAGAAUUUAAGCCCCAGUAAACGGCGGUGGUAACUAUAACCAUCCUAAGGUAGCGAAAUUCCUUGUCGGGUAAGUUCCGACCUGCACGAAUGGCGUAACGACUUCUCAACUGUCUCAACCAUAGACUCGGCGAAAUUGCACUACGAGUAAAGAUGCUCGUUACGCGCGGCAGGACGAAAAGACCCCGGGACCUUCACUACAACUUGGUAUUGAUGUUCGGUACGGUUUGUGUAGGAUAGGUGGGAGACUGUGAAACCUCGACGCCAGUUGGGGCGGAGUCAUUGUUGAAAUACCACUCUGAUCGUAUUGGGCAUCUAACCUCGAACCCUGAAUCGGGUUUAGGGACAGUGCCUGGCGGGUAGUUUAACUGGGGCGGUUGCCUCCUAAAAUGUAACGGAGGCGCCCAAAGGUUCCCUCAACCUGGACGGCAAUCAGGUGGCGAGUGUAAAUGCACAAGGGAGCUUGACUGCGAGACUUACAAGUCAAGCAGGGACGAAAGUCGGGAUUAGUGAUCCGGCACCCCCGAGUGGAAGGGGUGUCGCUCAACGGAUAAAAGGUACCCCGGGGAUAACAGGCUGAUCUUCCCCAAGAGUCCAUAUCGACGGGAUGGUUUGGCACCUCGAUGUCGGCUCGUCGCAUCCUGGGGCUGGAGCAGGUCCCAAGGGUUGGGCUGUUCGCCCAUUAAAGCGGCACGCGAGCUGGGUUUAGAACGUCGUGAGACAGUUCGGUCUCUAUCCGCCGCGCGCGUCAGAAACUUGAGGAAACCUGUCCCUAGUACGAGAGGACCGGGACGGACGAACCUCUGGUGCACCAGUUGUCCCGCCAGGGGCACCGCUGGAUAGCCACGUUCGGUCAGGAUAACCGCUGAAAGCAUCUAAGCGGGAAACCUUCUCCAAGAUCAGGUUUCUCACCCACUUGGUGGGAUAAGGCCCCCCGCAGAACACGGGUUCAAUAGGUCAGACCUGGAAGCUCAGUAAUGGGUGUAGGGAACUGGUGCUAACCGGCCGAAAACUUACAACACCC